rnacentral:rRNA from 1 species
ACUUUCGAUGGUAGGAUAGAGGCCUACCAUGGUGGUAACGGGUAACGGGGUGUUAGGGCACGACACCGGAGAGGGAGCCUGAGAAACGGCUACCACAUCCAAGGAUGGCAGCAGGCGCGCAAAUUACCCAAUCCCGACACGGGGAGGUAGUGACAAUAAAUAACAAUACGGGGUUCUUUAGGAUCUCGUAAUUGGAAUGAGUACAAUUUAAAUCUCUUAACGAGGAACAAUUGGAGGGCAAGUCUGGUGCCAGCAGCCGCGGUAAUUCCAGCUCCAAUAGCGUAUAUUAAAGUUGUUGCAGUUAAAAAGCUCGUAGUUGAAUUUCGGGGUUAGUAGGUUGGUCAUGCCUCUGGUAUGUACUGGUCUCACUGAUUCCUCCUUCCUGAUGAGCCGUAAUGCCAUUAAUUUGGUGUUGCGGGGAAUUUGGACUGUUACUUUGAAAAAUUUAGAGUGUUUAAAGCAGGCUAACGCUUGAAUACAUUAGCAUGGAAUAAUGAAAUAGGACGUUCGAUCCUAUUUUGUUGGUUUCUAGGAUUGACGUAAUGAUUAAUAGGGAUAGUUGGGGGCAUUAGUAUUCAAUUGUCAGAGGUGAAAUUCUUGGAUUUAUUGAAGACUAUCUACUGCGAAAGCAUUUGCCAAGGAUGUUUUCAUUAAUCAAGAACGAAAGUUAGGGGAUCGAAGACGAUCAGAUACCGUCGUAGUCUUAACCAUAAACUAUGCCGACUAGGGAUCGGAUGAUGUUAAUUUUUUAAUGACUCAUUCGGCGCCUUACGGGAAACCAAAGUGUUUGGGUUC